AGUUUGAUCCUGGCUCAGGAUGAACGCUAGCGGCAGGCUUAACACAUGCAAGUCGAGGGGCAGCGCGGGUAGCAAUACCUGGCGGCGACCGGCGAAAGGGUGAGUAACGCGUGAGCAACAUGCCCGUGGUUGGGGGAUAGUCGAUGGAAACGUCGCGUAAUACCCCGUAACACAUUUUUCCGCAUGGGGAGAUGUUGAAAGAUACUAUUGACCACGGAUUGGCUCGCGUGCCAUUAGGUAGACGGCGGGGUAACGGCCCACCGUGCCGACGAUGGCUAGGGGUUCUGAGAGGAAGGUCCCCCACAUUGGAACUGAGACACGGUCCAGACUCCUACGGGAGGCAGCAGUGAGGAAUAUUGGACAAUGGCCGGAAGGCUGAUCCAGCCAUGCCGCGUGCGGGAGGACGGCCCUAUGGGUUGUAAACCGCUUUUGCGAGGGAGCAAUAAGCGCCACGUGUGGCGCGAUGAGAGUACCUUACGAAUAAGCAUCGGCUAACUCCGUGCC
rnacentral:rRNA from 1 species